GUGCCAGCAGCCGCGGUAAUACGUAGGGGGCAAGCGUUGUCCGGAUUUAUUGGGCGUAAAGCGCUCGCAGGUGGCCCGAUGCGUCGUGCGUGAAAGACCCCGGCUCAACCGGGGGCGGUCGUGCGAUACGGUCGGGCUGGAGGCCAGUAGGGGGAUGCGGAAUUCCGGGUGUAGUGGUGGAAUGCGUAGAGAUCCGGAGGAACACCAGCGGCGAAGGCGGCAUCCUGGACUGGUCCUGACACUCAGGAGCGAAAGCGUGGGGAGCGAUCCGGAUUAGAAACCCCAGUAGUCC
rnacentral:rRNA from 1 species